rnacentral:tRNA from 1 species
GCCUGGGUGGCUCAGUCGGUUAAGCUUCUGACUUCAGCUCAGGUCAUGAUCUGAGUUUGUGAGUUAGAGCCCCGCCUUGGGCU